UGGGGAAUAUUGCACAAUGGGCGCAAGCCUGAUGCAGCCAUGCCGCGUGUAUGAAGAAGGCCUUCGGGUUGUAAAGUACUUUCAGCGGGGAGGAAGGGAGUAAAGUUAAUACCUUUGCUCAUUGACGUUACCCGCAGAAGAAGCACCGGCUAACUCCGUGCCAGCAGCCGCGGUAAUACGGAGGGUGCAAGCGUUAAUCGGAAUUACUGGGCGUAAAGCGCACGCAGGCGGUUUGUUAAGUCAGAUGUGAAAUCCCCGGGCUCAACCUGGGAACUGCAUCUGAUACUGGCAGGCUUGAGUCUCGUAGAGGGGGGUAGAAUUCCAGGUGUAGCGGUGAAAUGCGUAGAGAUCUGGAGGAAUACCGGUGGCGAAGGCGGCCCCCUGGACAAAGACUGACGCUCAGGUGCGAAAGCGUGGGGAGCAAACAGG
rnacentral:rRNA from 1 species